rnacentral:rRNA from 1 species
AUUGAACGCUGGCGGAAUGCUUUACACAUGCAAGUCGAACGGCAGCACGGACUUCGGUCUGGUGGCGAGUGGCGAACGGGUGAGUAAUAUAUCGGAACGUGCCCAGUCGUGGGGGAUAUCGUAGCGAAAGUUACGCUAAUACCGCAUACGAUCUAUGGAUGAAAGCGGGGGAUCGCAAGACCUCGCGCGAUUGGAGCGGCCGAUAUCAGAUUAGGUAGUUGGUGGGGUAAAGGCCCACCAAGCCGACGAUCCGUAGCUGGUCUGAGAGGACGACCAGCCACACUGGGACUGAGACACGACCCAGACUCCUACGGGAGGCAGCAGUGGGGAAUUUUGGACAAUGGGCGAAAGCCUGAUCCAGCCAUGCCGCGUGCAGGAUGAAGGCCUUCGGGUUGUAAACUGCUUUUGUACGGAACGAAAAGGACUGCCCUAAUACGGUGGUCCCAUGACGGUACCGUAAGAAUAAGCACCGGCUAACUACGUGCCAGCCGCCGCCGUAA